GGAGUACGGCGUAAAACGUGUUAAAGCACCAUACCAAAUAGGGUUAAAUUCUAACUAAGCUGUAAAAAGCCAUGAUUAAAAUAAAAAUAAAUGACGAAAGUGACCCUACAAUAGCCGACGCACUAUAGCUAAGACCCAAACUGGGAUUAGAUACCCCACUAUGCUUAGCCCUAAACACAGAUAAUUACAUAAACAAAAUUAUUCGCCAGAGUACUACUAGCAACAGCUUAAAACUCAAAGGACUUGGCGGUGCUUUAUAUCCUUCUAGAGGAGCCUGUUCUAUAAUCGAUAAACCCCGAUAAACCUCACCAAUUCUUGCUAAUACAGUCUAUAUACCGCCAUCUUCAGCAAACCCUAAAAAGGAAAAAAAGUAAGCGUAAUUAUGAUACAUAAAAACGUUAGGUCAAGGUGUAACCUAUGAAAUGGGAAGAAAUGGGCUACAUUCUCUACACCAAGAGAAUCAAGCACGAAAGUUAUUAUGAAACCAAUAACCAAAGGAGGAUUUAGCAGUAAACUAAGAAUAGAGUGCUUAGUUGAAUUAGG
rnacentral:rRNA from 1 species